rnacentral:rRNA from 1 species
UACGGGGGGGGCAAGCGUUGUUCGGAAUUACUGGGCGUAAAGGGCUCGUAGGCGGCCAACUAAGUCAUACGUGAAAUCCCCAGGCUCAACCUGGGAACUGCGUCUGAUACUGGUUGGCUUGAAUCCGGGAGAGGGAUGCAGAAUUCCAGGUGUAGCGGUGAAAUGCGUAGAUAUCUGGAGGAAUACCGGUGGCGAAGGCGGCAUCCUGGACCGGCAUUGACGCUGAGGCGCGAAAGCCAGGGGAGCGAACGGG